rnacentral:ncRNA from 1 species
GAGAGAAUGAACAUGGGUGAAGGGAAAUGAGAGGAGAGAACAUGUGACUUAGAACAUUUUUCAUAUUUAUUCUUGUAACACCUCCAUUAGACUUCUGGACAGAAGUAUGUGUAUAUUGGUCAUGGAGACUCCGAUUUUGAUUCCGUGAAAUGCAUGGAAAAGACGAUACCAAGGGAUAUGAAAUGAACAUACAAUAGUUCAAAAAUAUUCAUAUUCCAAUAUAUUUUUUUAUUAUUAUUCCAGGAGCGAGAAUCUACAGGUGAUCAAAUUUUGGUCAGCAUGGAGUAACUAUGACUAUCUUAAGGUAGCCAGAUGCCUCGUCAUAUAAUUAGUGACACACAUGAAUGGAUCAUUAACGAGAUUCCCCACUGUCCCUAGCUACUAUAUUCUAGAGAAACCACAUCCAAGGGAAUGGGAUUGGCAGAAUUAGCAGGGAAAUAAGACCCUCAUGUUGAGCUUGACUCUAGUCCUAACCCAUUCAUAGUUUGGGAAAAUUA